rnacentral:rRNA from 1 species
ACAACGGAGAGUUUGAUCCUGGCUCAGGACGAACGCUGGCGGCGUGCUUAACACAUGCAAGUCUAGGGGAAAGUUUUCUUCGGAGAAUGAGUACACUGGCGCACGGGUGAGUAAUAUAUAAGUAACCUACCUUGUGGAUUGGAAUAACGUAGAGAAAUUUGCGCUAAUACCGAAUGAUGCAGCGGCACCGCAUGGUGAUGUUGUUAAAGUCAUUUAUGGCGCCACAAGAUGGGCUUGUAUUCGAUUAGCUAGUUGGUGGGGUAAUAGCCCACCAAGGCAACGAUCGAUAGCUGGUCUGAGAGGAUGAUCAGCCACACUGGAACUGAGACACGGUCCAGACUCCUACGGGAGGCAGCAGUGAGGAAUAUUGGGCAAUGCCCGCAAGGGUGACCCAGCAACGCCGCGUGGAGGAUGAAUGCCGUAAGGUU